UCUAAGGCGCUUGAGAGAACUCAGGAGAAGGAACUCGGCAAAUUGACACCGUAACUUCGGAAGAAGGUGUGCCUUUAGUAGGUGAACCUGUACAAGGGGAGCCCAAUGAGGUUGCAAAAAAUCGGUGGCUGCGACUGUUUAAUAAAAGCACAGCACUCUGCAAACACGAAAGUGGACGUAUAGGGUGUGACGCCUGCCCGGUGCUGGAAGAUUAAAUGAUGGGGUGCAAGCUCUUGAUUGAAGUCCCAGUAAACGGCGGCCGUAACGAUAACGGUCCUAAGGUAGCGAAAUUCCUUGUCGGGUAAGUUCCGACCUGCACGAAUGGCGUAACGAUGGCCACACUGUCUCCUCCUGAGACUCAGCGAAGUUGAAAUGUUUGUGAUGAUGCAAUCUCCCCGCGGAAAGACGGAAAGACCCCAUGAACCUUUACUGUAGCUUUGUAUUGGACUUUGAACAGAUCUGUGUAGGAUAGGUGGGAGGCUUUGAAGUGUGGUCGCUAGAUCGCAUGGAGCUAACGUUGAAAUACCACCCUGGUGUGUUUGAGGUUCUAACCUAGGCCCGUAAUCCGGGUCGGGGACAGUGCAUGGUAGGCAGUUUGACUGGGGCGGUCUCCUCCCAAAGCGUAACGGAGGAGUUCGAAGGUACGCUAGGUACGGUCGGACAUCGUGCUAAUAGUGCAAUGGCAUAAGCGUGCUUAACUGCGAGACUGACAAGUCGAGCAGAUGCGAAAGCAGGACAUAGUGAUCCGGUGGUUCUGUAUGGAAGGGCCAUCGCUCAACGGAUAAAAGGUACUCUGGGGAUAACAGGCUGAUACCGCCCAAGAGUUCAUAUCGACGGCGGUGUUUGGCACCUCGAUGUCGGCUCAUCUCAUCCUGGGGCUGUAGCCGGUCCCAAGGGUAUGGCUGUUCGCCAUUUAAAGAGGUACGUGAGCUGGGUUUAAAACGUCGUGAGACAGUUUGGUCCCUAUCUUCCGUGGGCGCUGCAGAUUUGAGAAAGCCUGCUCCUAGUACGAGAGGACCGGAGUGGACACACCUCUGGUGUAUCGGUUGUCACGCCAGUGGCAUUGCCGAGUAGCUAUGUGUGGAAGAGAUAACCGCUGAAAGCAUCUAAGCGGGAAACUCGUUUCAAGAUGAGAUCUGCCGGGGCCUUGAGCCCCCUAAAGAGUCGUUCAAGACCAGGACGUUGAUAGGUCGGGUGUGGAAGCGCAGUAAUGCGUUAAGCUAACCGAUACUAAUUGCUCGUGCGGCUUGACC
rnacentral:rRNA from 1 species